rnacentral:ncRNA from 1 species
CCACUCUGAGGAAAGGGCUGAAAGAAACCCCACGGCGCAAUGACUGUGAAGGUGGGACCCCCCCCUACGGGUCGCGGGGGCGCACCACCGGCCCGUCUCUCCCGCUCCGUCGGGGAGGUGGAGCUAGAUCGUACGCGAUGGUACCCGAAAGAUGGUGAACUAUGCCUGGGCAGGGCGAAGCCAGGGGAAACUCUGGUGGAGGCCCGCAGCGGUCCUGACGUGCAAAUCAGUCGUCCGACCUGGGUAUAGGGGCGAAAGACUAAUCGAACCAUCUAGUAGCUGG